rnacentral:tRNA from 1 species
GGGCCUGUAGCUCAGCUGGUUAGAGCACUGUGUUGAUAACGCAGGGGUCGUUGGUUCGAGUCCAACCAGGCCCACCA